AUGAACGCUAGCGGCAGGCUUAAUACAUGCAAGUCGAGGGGCAUCAAGGUACACGAAAGUGUAUUGUUGGCGACCGGCGGACGGGUGAGUAAUAGGUAGGUAACCUACCUCAUACUGAGGCAUAGCUGGGAGAAAUUCCAGGUAAUUCCUCAUGAGGUUAUAUGACACAUGUGAUAUAAUCAAAGGUAUCGCAAGGUACUGGUAUGAGAUGGGCUUACUGACCAUUAGCUAGUUGGUGAGAUAAGAGCUCACCAAGGCGAAGAUGGUUAGGGGUUUUGAGAGAGAGAUCCCCCACAUUGGAACUGAGAUACGGUCCAGACUCCUACGGGAGGCAGCAGUAGGGAAUAUUGCACAAUGGGCGAAAGCCUGAUGCAGCGACGCCGCGUGAGGGAUGACGGCCUUCGGGUUGUAAACCUCUUUCAGCAGGGAAGAAGCGCAAGUGACGGUACCUGCAGAAGAAGCACCGGCUAACUACGUG
rnacentral:rRNA from 1 species